AGUUAAUAAGCUUUAAGAAGCAUAUAUUUUGAAAAUAUAAGAAAAAGCAAAGACUUUAUUAACUU
rnacentral:tRNA from 1 species